GGCAGAGGUCCCCGCCUGCCGCGCCGUCGUCCACGCGGCAGGCUCGGGUUCGCCGGCCUCUGCCCCCUCGCCGGCGGCUGCCCCGCCGCCGCCGCCGCCUCGUGUUCAGCCACCUCUAGUACGCGUUCAAGAGCCUCGUCAUGCGGGCGGCGAGGUCGUGGAAGAAGACGAGGCUGUUCAGGCAGUGGCGGCAGCAGUAGUUCCCCGAACGACUGGUGUUCCUAGUUGAGCCUCGAGGAGAGACGGGGACGUCCGUAAUGCUGCUGUUCCGGCGGCUCCGGCGCGUUCCCAAGACCUUGACGGGCACGCAGGGGUACGCUCUCUCCUUCCUCACGGUGACGUACGAAAAGGAAUGCGGGCUGUUGCUAAAACGGCCUCUCCUGGUCCGGUAGUCGAACCUCCUCUAGUUCCUCCGCUGCAGGUUCAUGAUUGGUGUGUUGUGGACAAAACGAGCUCUCCCCCGAUAUCAGUCAGUCAGCCAGCAGCAACAGCCCUGGACACAUACAUCAUAGAGACAUUGUCGUCCUUUAUUCUUUACAGACAGACCUUACUAUAGACAACAGUAGGUAGGCAGAACUCUCUUUAAUUCCGGACUACCA
rnacentral:rRNA from 1 species